AAGACUAUACUUCUAGGGAUGGUUUUUCCAGUAAAUUACUAGAGAAGUGUUUCUCAACAUGCAGGGUCCUAGUAACACGCUGACGAAUGCUACGUAGUGU
rnacentral:snoRNA from 1 species